rnacentral:rRNA from 1 species
UACGUAGGGUGCGAGCGUUGUCCGGAAUUACUGGGCGUAAAGAGCUCGUAGGCGGCUUGUCACGUCGGGUGUGAAAGCCCGGGGCUUAACCCCGGGUCUGCAUUCGAUACGGGCAGGCUGGAGUUCGGUAGGGGAGAUCGGAAUUCCUGGUGUAGCGGUGAAAUGCGCAGAUAUCAGGAGGAACACCGGUGGCGAAGGCGGAUCUCUGGGCCGAUACUGACGCUGAGGAGCGAAAGCGUGGGGAGCGAACAGG